rnacentral:rRNA from 1 species
CCUACGGGAGGCAGCAGUAGGGAAUUUUCGUCAAUGGGCGCAAGCCUGAACGAGCAAUGCCGCGUGAACGAGGAAGGUCUUCGGAUCGUAAAGUUCUGUUGAAGGGGAAAAAGAGCGGAGAGAGGAAAUGGUCUCCGAUUGAUAUUACCCUUCGAGGAAGUCACGGCUAACUACGUGCCAGCAGCCGCGGUAAUACGUAGGAGGCGAGCGUUAUCCGGAAUGAUUGGGCGUAAAGGGUGCGUAGGCGGCCUGCUAAGCCUGGAGUGAAAGGUACCGGCCCACACGGUACAUGCUCUGGAAACUGG